rnacentral:rRNA from 1 species
AUUGAACGCUGGCGGCAGGCCUAACACAUGCAAGUCGAACGAGUGGCGGACGGGUGAGUAAUGUCUGGGAAACUGCCUGAUGGAGGGGGAUAACUCCUGGAAACGGUAGCUAAUACAGCAUACCAUCGGAUGUGCCCAGAUGGGAUUAGUUAGUAGGUGGGGUAAAGUAUAACCUAGGCGACGAUACCUAGCUGGUCUGAGAGGAUGACCAGCCACACUUGAACUGAGACACGGGCCAGACUCCUACGGGAGGCAGCAGUGGGGAGUAUGGCACAAUGGGCGCAAGCCUGAUGCAGCCAUGCCGCGUGUAUGAAGAAGGCCUUCGGGUUGUAAAGUACUUUCAGCGGGGAGGCGUUACCCGCAGAAGAAGCACCGGCUAACUCCGUGCCAGCAGCCGCGGUAAUUC